rnacentral:rRNA from 1 species
AACGAACGCUGGCGGCAUGCCUAACACAUGCAAGUCGAACGAUCCCUUCGGGGAUAGUGGCGCACGGGUGCGUAACGCGUGGGAACCUGCCCUUAGGUUCGGAAUAACUCAGAGAAAUUUGAGCUAAUACCGGAUAAUGUCUUCGGACCAAAGAUUUAUCGCCUUUGGAUGGGCCCGCGUUGGAUUAGCUAGUUGGUGGGGUAAAGGCCUACCAAGGCGACGAUCCAUAGCUGGUCUGAGAGGAAGAUCAGCCACACUGGGACUGAGACACGGCCCAGACUCCUACGGGAGGCAGCAGUGGGGAAUAUUGGACAAUGGGCGAAAGCCUGAUCCAGCAAUGCCGCGUGAGUGAUGAAGGCCUUAGGGUUGUAAAGCUCUUUUACCCGGGAUGAUAAUGACAGUACCGGGAGAAUAAGCCCCGGCUAACUCCGUG